GACGGAGGAUGCAAGCGUUAUCCGGAAUGAUUGGGCGUAAAGCGUCCGCAGGUGGCAGUUCAAGUCUGCUGUCAAAGACCGGGGCUUAACUUCGGAAAGGCAGUGGAAACUGAACAGCUAGAGUAUGGUAGGGGCAGAGGGAAUUCCUGGUGUAGCGGUGAAAUGCGCAGAUAUCAGGAGGAACACCAACGGCGAAGGCAGCUCUCUGGGACGUUACUGACGCUGAGACGCGAAAGCGCGGGAGCAAACAGG
rnacentral:rRNA from 1 species